CUACUCUAGCUCGCAUUGACCUGGAGCGCAGAAUUGAAUCUCUCAACGAGGAGAUCGCGUUCCUUAAGAAAGUGCAUGAAGAGGAGAUCCGUGAGUUGCAGGCUCAGCUUCAGGAACAGCAGGUCCAGGUGGAGAUGGACAUGUCUAAGCCAGACCUCACUGCCGCCCUCAGGGACAUCCGGGCUCAGUAUGAGACCAUCGCGGCUAAGAACAUUUCUGAAGCUGAGGAGUGGUACAAGUCGAAGGUGUCAGACCUGACCCAGGCAGCCAACAAGAACAACGACGCCCUGCGCCAGGCCAAGCAGGAGAUGAUGGAAUACCGACACCAGAUCCAGUCCUACACCUGCGAGAUUGACGCCCUGAAGGGCACUAACGAUUCCCUGAUGAGGCAGAUGCGGGAAUUGGAGGACCGAUUUGCCAGUGAGGCCAGUGGCUACCAGGACAACAUUGCGCGCCUGGAGGAGGAAAUCCGGCACCUCAAGGAUGAGAUGGCCCGCCAUCUGCGCGAGUACCAGGACCUGCUCAACGUGAAGAUGGCCCUGGAUGUGGAGAUUGCCACCUACCGGAAGCUGCUGGAGGGAGAGGAGAGCCGGAUCAAUCUCCCCAUCCAGACCUACUCUGCCCUCAACUUCCGAGAAACCAGCCCUGAGCAAAGGGGUUCUGAGGUCCAUACCAAGAAGACGGGUGGACUUAGAAAGCAGGGGCUACAAGAGGGAAUCCCCGAAGGUGCUGGAGGUGGGAGCAGGAGAUUGAGAAGGAGAGAAAGUGGGUGAGAUGCUGGAGAAGAGAGGAGAGGAGAGAGGCAGAGAGCGGUCUCAGGCUGGUGGGAGGGGCGCCCACCUCCCCACGCCCUCCCCUCCCCUGCUGCAGGGGCUCUGGAGAGAAACAAUAAAGAGAUUCACACACAAGC
rnacentral:lncRNA from 1 species